AUUCCAGCUCCAAUAGCGCAUAUUAAAGUUGUUGCAGUUAAAACGCUCGUAGUCGAAUUUCGGAUGUGAUUUGAUGGUAGAUCUUAUGAUCUUACUUUUUAAUUGUGUCCUUACUUUUGGAGGAGCACUUGUGCUAAACCAGAACAUUUACUUUGAGGAAAUUAGAGUGUUCAAAGCAGGCAAUUGCUUGAAUAUCGCAGCAUGGAAUAAUAGAAUAGGACUUUGGUUUUAUUUUAUUGGUUUUGAAGACCAAAGUAAUGAUGAAUAGGGGCAGUCGUGGGCAUUAGUAUUUUGAAGUCAGAGGUGAAAUUCUUGGAUUUUCAAAAGACUAACUAAAGCGAAAGCAUUUGCCAAGGAUGUUUUCAUUA
rnacentral:rRNA from 1 species